GAACAGUCAGUUUUUGAAAGUAUUUCUUGACGAACAGAACGAUAUAUUUAUGUCGCCAAUCAUUUUGAUUUUCUUUUUGGUUUUCAUUCCGUUUUCUCAACAACACACAUCUUUAGAGGAGUCCUUAAAUGAUCGAAUAAUCAGUGAAGAAGUAGUCGAAAUGCUAUCAGAGAAAGAAAUUAGACCCAGCAGAGUAAGAAGAGUCCCUGAACAAAAAAAUAAAUUGUGCGGAAAGCAAGUCUUAUCCUACGUUAUGGCACUUUGUGAAAAAGCAUGCGAUUCAAAUACAAAAGUCGAUAUUGCGACAAAAUGUUGCCGCGAUGCAUGCUCAGACGAAUUCAUUCGACAUCAAUGUUGUCCUUAA
rnacentral:misc_RNA from 1 species